rnacentral:misc_RNA from 1 species
ACCUGCGAACAUGUACUUACAUUCGGGGAUCCAAGUGCGUCUUCUUCGGCGGAUGCUCUUUCUUCCCAACGUUGAGAUGGCUCGGUGUGUGUUUUGCUUACCAACGAAGUAUUCGUUGAGAGUUGGCACCCACUGAGCUUUCUCGACAUAACAAAAACCCGGCGUGAACUGCGCCAAGGAACAUAAUAAGAUCGUGCAUUCUCCCGGUGUUUGCUUUUGCUUCACUCGGACGGAUGUCAUCUUCUUGAUGAGUUUAUAAUGACUCUCGGCAACGGAUAUCUCGGCUCUUACAUCGAUGAAGAACGUAGCAAAAUGCGAUACUUGGUGUGAAUUGCAGAAUCCCGUGAACCAUCGAGUCUUUGAACGCAAGUUGCGCCCGAAUCCUUCCGGUCGAGGGCACGUCUGCCUGGGUGUCACGUACACACGUCUCUCGCAAACCUUUCCCUUCAUGGGUGAAGGGUCUUGCGUGAGCAGAAUUUGGUCUCCCGUGCUUUGUAUUGUGCGGCUUACCUAAAAAUUGAGAGCCAGUGAUGAAACUUCACGUCUAGUGGUGGUUAAGGAACCUUCAUGGGUCAAAAACCAGUUCGCGGCGUGAAAGUUUGUCACUUGGAAAGUUCUCUAUCGACACCUUGAACGUCUYYUAAUGAYCGUUCUACUGUCGCGACCCCA